CGUUGCUCAGCCCCGGACGGACGCGGGCGCCUCGCCAGGGGAGAAGCCGGGGACUCGGGCGCGGCCCCUUUAAGGCUGCUCCUGCCCGCUGGGGGCGAUGAGGAGCUGGAAGCGGCCGAGGAGCCAGGCGCAGCCUGACAGGUAGGCGGGGAGCCGGGCACGAUCCCUGCCAGGCCGGCGCUGGAUGGAGCCGGCUGCAGUGUCGCCUCCCCGGCCUCGGGCUGGCGAUGGAGCGGGCGCAGCGGCAGGAGGCGGAGGGCUGGCUGGCUUCCCCUGAGAUGAUCUGAAGAGGAGCUGGA
rnacentral:lncRNA from 1 species